GACGAACGCUGGCGGCGUGCCUAAUACAUGCAAGUAGAACGCUGAAGGAGGAGCUUGCUUCUCUGGAUGAGUUGCGAACGGGUGAGUAACGCGUAGGUAACCUGCCUGGUAGCGGGGGAUAACUAUUGGAAACGAUAGCUAAUACCGCAUAAUAGUAGAUGUUGCAUGACAUUUGCUUAAAAGGUGCAAUUGCAUCACUACCAGAUGGACCUGCGUUGUAUUAGCUAGUUGGUGAGGUAACGGCUCACCAAGGCAACGAUACAUAGCCGACCUGAGAGGGUGAUCGGCCACACUGGGACUGAGACACGGCCCAGACUCCUACGGGAGGCAGCAGUAGGGAUUCGGCGGCAAUGGACGGAAGUCUGACCGAGCAACGCCGCGUGAGUGAAGAAGGUUUUCGGAUCGUAAAGCUCUGUUGUAAGAGAAGAACGAGUGUGAGAGUGGAAAGUUCACACUGUGACGGUAUCUUACCAGAAAGGGACGGCUAACUACGUG
rnacentral:rRNA from 1 species